rnacentral:lncRNA from 10 species
AGGGACCAGAGGUAAUUGUUUUCUUCUUUGGCAGAUCUGGACUUAAGGCAGGUAUCUACUGAGUGACUCAGAACCAAAGCCAGUAAAUCCUUUAUGAGGUAACAAAGGACAGAUAUGAGGCACCUCAAAGUGGCAUGAAGAGGAAGUCCUCACAAGAUCUGGAGCCAGCCCCUAAAGAGACUUCAAUAACAGAAAAGUAAAAAUGGUCCAUAAAAGGGAAAAAGAUCAAUAUCAAAUGGUAAUGUAACUCUCCAAACAGUCGAGAGUCACACAAACAUAAAUUCAAAACAAAUAAUUCAAGCUAAUUGUUGUACAUUUUUCUUUUUCUCCUGAGUUGCAAAGAUCUAGAUCUCUAAGGGUCUGAUUUCCUGAAUGAGAAUCCAAUCCCAGAUCACAGCAGUGAAGAGUAGAAUCCUAGCCCCUACACUACAAGCUGGGGUAUCUUUUUGUAGGUUCAGCGGGAACCCCAAAGCAGGCAGUUUGAAGCAAAAAGAUUUUAAGUACAUUUACAAUCUGCUUUCUGCCUUUUUGAAAUCUUGCCAAAGGAGUUUCUAAGGCUACAUUUCUUUUGUUUCUUAUAUAAGUACCAAUAACAGCUGAUUAAGGCAAGAGCCCUCUAAAAAGUUUUCACUUAAAUAUAGCCAGUUUCUUUAUUGCAAAGCAACUGAAGCCAAUCAGCUUUUUUCAUGCAAAGUCCCAGAGGUAACUUUCCAAGUUUACAAUACUAUGAAUGUUAAGUGGCAUUUUAAAAAUCGGUUCAGUUGAUGUAGCCCUCAUGAUUCCUCAAAAAUUCACUCUCAGAAAUAGGCUAAGGUAGCAAAAGACUCAUUACCACAGAUGGCGCAGGGUGCUGUCUGUGUGUGCAGCAGUGCCACACUAUCCCACAAAGUUGUGGGGUGUGCCAGUCACAGACCCCUUAAUCUGUUGCACCAGCAGACCCUCCUGGGUUUGGACUUUUCCAGAACUAACCAGGUAGCAUGUGUUGAGACAACAAAGGUCCUUUAUAGAUAGGACAAAGUCCCCUGAGAGUCUGGCAUAUUCAGACCUAAGAGUGUGCUGCUUAAUAUCUUAGGUGUCUAGGGUUCUGGCCCUUUCAGACUGGCCACCAGUUAUGUCCCGAAAAUCAUACUCCCCAGAUGGUGAAAAACAAGAGCGAGUGCUCCCACCAGUAACAAACAAGUCAAGUUCUCACAAACACAAAACAAGAUAUAAGGGGACCCUCAUCCAGUUUUUAUUUCGGGGACUCACAGCACGUACAAUUGUACAUAGGUCUGAUGAAACUGUAAACAUCACCAGUCUCUCGGGGGCCAGCUCAGACAAGGGGCUUAUAGAGACUUUAGACCCAUGUUCUAUCCUAUGACACCCAUCUUUAUGACAAAACAACACAUAAAGACAAAGACAAUGGAGAAACAAAAUCUAUUUCUGGGAGAAAAAAGAUAAGACAAUAUGAAUAUCUAUACAAUAAAAUACACCAGAGUUGCUACACCCAAGACCAGUCAAAAAUGAUUUUCUCCUGUUAAUGUUACAUAUGGAAAGAGAGACAAACAUGGUUUUUUUACUAUCCGCUCAUCCAGAUUCCAAAGACAAACACAGACCAAGAUUCUGACUGGAAAGAAUUUCUUACCCUUCUGCUGGCUUGCCGGGUCCCAGGUUCCCUGACUGCAAUUUUCGGAAGAGCAGAGCAGUUUUGGUUGUCCUGUUC